UUCUUCUCUUUCCUUCUUCCCCUGUUCUUCUUUUCUCUGUGUGCGAUUGAGAAUCAGUUCGAGAGAAUUAAUUGAUGAGGGUGAUGGUGAGGUUGUAAAUCAGGAUGAAGAACAACUAAGGGAGUGUUGGGUUUUUGUCUGUGGUGACAAUCAAAGAGAAGCAGAGUUAGGGUUCUUAGAUUUGAUUAUGAUUCUGAAGAUCUAGAAGAUGAAUAUGGAGCUACGGUUAGAUCAGCAACAAUGGGUAGAUGUUUAAUUGGAGUUUUGAAGUCGAUUCAGUUGUGAAUAAUCGAUGAGAAUUGGAUUAGGGUUUCAGGGGAAUUGCAGAAGAGAAAUCGAAGAUGAAAUUGAUACUUUAGAAGAUUAAUUGAAGAUGGGUUUUGUGUAUUGAACGUAAAGGAGAAGAUUUAGUAUCUGAUUUUUGAUUCACAUAGAAGAAUUGAUGAAUUAGGGUUUCAUGUUCUUCCCCAAUUUAAGAACUAGGGUUUUGAGAAUUGAACAGAUGGUUUAGGAAGGAGAUGGAGUUGUAUUGAUUUGUUGGAAUCAGAAGAAAGAAGGGGUUGGUUUCAAUCUGGUUGAGACAAGUUGUUUGAGGUAAUUAUUCUUCUUAGUUAACGUAGUAAUGUUUAUAUACUUUCAUCACUGAGUUGUGAGUUUGUUUUUUGAUCUAAGUUAUGAGAUAGAUGUGUAUAUGGAACUGGAAGAGGAAUUAUUACACUGAGCUGGUGAUUGAGGCAAUGAAGUGAUUAUUGUCUGGUACUGAAAUGGUUACUGGAAUUGGAUUGUUUUGAUGGUGAUGGUCCUUGUUGUAGUGGAAGUGGUAUUGUGCAUGUGAUAGAUUAGUAGUACCCGUGAUAAUUAUGAAAUAACAAUUCAUGAGAGUGGUGGUGUUGUUGCUGUGUUGGGGGAAGUUUAUGAAGAUGGUGGUGCUGUUGUUGAAGCUAGUGGAUCUGUUGGAGUUGAAUAUGAAAUUGGAGAUAUUAUGUCUGGAAUUACAGAUUGUUUAGUGUUUAGCUAAGUUGUUGUGGUGGCUGUGGAGAUGGUGUUAGAACUGCAGGUGAUGUCAAAUUGUGAACGACAGUUGCAGGGAAAUGGUUGUACCCAGUGGGGAUGUAUUUGGGAUAGUGGUUGUUUAAUGAUUCUAAAGGUCUGUGAAUGAAUUGCAAGUAUAUCUAGUGUUGUUGAACUACUGUGGUAGCUAACUGAAAUGGCGUAUAACUGAGAAGAAUGUGGCAGUGGAAUAGAGACUGGAGCUGCAAAUGUUAUUGAAGUUUGGAUGUAGCUGUGGUAUUGCAGUUAGUAGUUGAAUCGAGGUUGUAGUUUGGAUCAGUUAAAGAUGGUGUUAUGGUUUUUGUUUAGGAUUGUAAUUGCAAGGGGUGGAUAUGACUUGGGAUAUUUUAAUGGUAGAUGUGUAUCUUGAUGAUAGUCUGUUUGAAGGCCUGCUGCUACUGCAAUUGCAGUUGGUCUAUAUUAACAACGAUCGAUUCAAAGGAUGAACCAGUGGAUCGUGGAUCUCGAGGUAGGCGUGGCUUAUCAUCAAAAGAGUUUUAGAGACAGAUCAGAGUUGCGCAGCGAAAGCUUCAAACGUCCAGAUCGUUAGUUAGUUUACUUCUGCUAUGUUUAUUAUGUUGUAUAUUCUUUUGUAAACCAAAUGACUAUUUUAUAUGUAUAUAUGUAUAUAUCAGAGAGGGGAUAGUUUUUGGGUUAAGU